rnacentral:rRNA from 1 species
AUGCACGCUGGCGGCGUGCCUAAUCCAUGCAAGUCGCGCGAACAGAUAAGGAGCUUGCUCCUUUGACGUUAGCGGCGGACGGGUGAGUAACACGUGGGUAACCUACCUAUAAGACUGGGAUAACUUCGGGAAACCGGAGCUAAUACCGGAUAAUAUUUCGAACCGCAUGGUUCGAUAGUGAAAGAUGGUUUUGCUAUCACUUAUAGAUGGACCCGCGCCGUAUUAGCUAGUUGGUAAGGUAACGGCUUACCAAGGCGACGAUACGUAGCCGACCUGAGAGGGUGAUCGGCCACACUGGAACUGAGACACGGUCCAGACUCCUACGGGAGGCAGCAGUAGGGAAUCUUCCGCAAUGGGCGAAAGCCUGGCGGAGCAACGCCGCGUGAGUGAUGAAGGUCUUCGGAUCGUAAAACUCUGUUAUUAGGGAAGAACAUACGUGUAAGUAACUGUGCACGUCUUGACGGUACCUAAUCAGAAAGCCACGGCUAACUACGUG